rnacentral:rRNA from 1 species
UACGGGGGGGGCAAGCGUUGUUCGGAAUUACUGGGCGUAAAGGGCUUGUAGGUGGCCAACUAAGUCGAACGUGAAAUCCCCGGGCUCAACCCGGGAACUGCGUCCGAUACUGGAAGGCUUGAAUCCGGGAGAGGGAUGUGGAAUUCCAGGUGUAGCGGUGAAAUGCGUAGAUAUCUGGAGGAACACCGAUGGCGAAGGCAGGUCUCUGGGCCACUACUGACGCUGGGAAGCGAAAGCAUGGGGAGCGAACAGG